UGUAACCCAAUGCAGUGAGUUCACCUCUUAAUGAGUGCAAACCCAGUAAGCACAACCAGGAGGUAAGAGUGGAGAGAGAAUCAUUACUUGCAGCAGACAGGAUCUUGCUAUGCAGCCCAGGCUGACCUCAAACUCAUGGCAAUCCUCCUGCCUCAGCAUCCCAAGUGCUGGGAUCACAGUCCCUUUCUCUUGUCUAUCCCCACCACCACCACCACCAUACCGGGGAUUGAACUCAGGACCUUGCACUUUUGAGGCAGGUAUGGUGCCUCUGAGCUAAAUCUCUGGCCCUUGUCUAUUUCUCUUUUAAGAAUCAAACUAAAUCUCACCUCCUUUGAAGACUUUCC
rnacentral:lncRNA from 1 species